GGAAGAGAUGACCGGAUACAUUCUAUUUCUUUUAUCUGGAUAUUAAGCCAUCUGCAUAAGUGUUAAUGAAACCUGAGGUACUCAGAGCAGUCCUGUUGUGACCUGGGAGUGAACCACGGAGGUCUGGAAGCCUCAAAAAAUAUCCGAGAAAGAGAUAGAGGAAAAACACAAUACAAAAGCAUCCACUAUGAGCUAUACUUUGAGAACAAGCAUUUCUGGUUCAGAGAGCUUCCACCGU